CGGCUGAUCGCCUAGGAGACUCGCUCCCCUCGUCCUGCGCGCCUGCGGCGGUAGCGGAAGAGGCGCCCGCGCAGCGCCGCUGCCCGGAGGGGCCGCCGUGCGCCCGCUUCCUGUUCGGCUAGUUCCAGCCAGCUCGAGGACAAAACACGCGUGCGCGCGGCGGACGGGCAGGCGCGCUCGCCGCCUCAGCCGCCGAUGCUGAGUGCAGUCCGCCUUUUUCCGGAGCAGCCCGGCCACGGUGCUAAUCGAUAGCCGCCGCUGCAGCAGCUCCGCACUGGUGGACCAAGGGCGGAAAAAGGGGUUGACGGCUCUUUGCUAGGAGUGGGCUGGACCGGACGCCAGAGACAAAGGCUCUCAAGGCAAGAGGGACUUGGCCCUGCGACGGCGUUGCUCGGGAUUUUUGACCCCAGGACUUUUCUCCCCUUCGUUUUUCUCUUCUGACGCUUCUCUCAUCCCAAGCCCGCGUCCCCUUCACCCGCGACCUCGUUCCUCACCGGAGGGCCGCGAUGGAGGUCCCGCCCCGGCUUUCCCAUGUGCCGCCGCCAUUGUUUCCCUCCGCUCCCGCUACUUUAGCCUCCCGCAGCCUUUCCCAUUGGCGGCCGCGGGCGCCGAGGCAGCUCGCCCCACUCCUCCCUUCGCUCGCUCCCAGCUCUGCCCGGCAGGGGGCGCGCCGGGCCCAACGCCACGUCACCGCCCAGCAGCCCUCCCGAUUGGCGGGCGGGGCGGCUAUAAAGGGAGGGCGCAGGCGGCGCCCGGAUCUCUUCCGCCGCCAUUUUAAAUCCAGCUCCAUACAACGCUCCGCCGCUGCUGCUGCCGGGACUCGGACUGCGCGCCAGCACCCCCCGGCCGACAACUCCGCCACCAUGGAGGACAUGAACGAGUACAGCAACAUAGAGGAAUUCGCAGAGGGAUCCAAGAUCAACGCGAGCAAGAACCAGCAGGAUGACGGUAAAAUGUUUAUUGGAGGCUUGAGCUGGGAUACAAGCAAGAAAGAUCUGACUGAAUAUUUGUCUCGGUUUGGGGAAGUUGUAGACUGCACAAUUAAAACAGAUCCAGUCACCGGAAGAUCAAGAGGAUUUGGAUUUGUGCUUUUCAAAGAUGCUGCUAGUGUUGAUAAGGUUUUGGAAUUGAAGGAACACAAACUGGAUGGCAAAUUGAUAGACCCCAAAAGGGCCAAAGCUUUAAAGGGGAAGGAACCCCCAAAAAAGGUUUUUGUGGGUGGAUUGAGCCCAGAUACUUCUGAAGAACAAAUUAAAGAAUAUUUUGGAGCCUUUGGAGAGAUUGAAAAUAUUGAACUUCCCAUGGAUACAAAAACAAAUGAAAGAAGAGGAUUUUGUUUUAUCACAUACACAGAUGAAGAGCCAGUAAAGAAAUUAUUAGAAAGCAGAUAUCAUCAAAUUGGUUCGGGGAAGUGUGAAAUCAAAGUUGCACAGCCCAAAGAGGUAUAUAGGCAGCAACAGCAACAACAAAAAGGAGGAAGAGGUGCUGCAGCUGGUGGACGAGGUGGUACUAGGGGUCGAGGCCGAGGUCAGGGCCAAAACUGGAACCAAGGAUUUAAUAACUAUUAUGAUCAAGGAUAUGGAAAUUACAAUAGUGCCUAUGGUGGUGAUCAAAACUAUAGUGGCUAUGGCGGCUAUGAUUAUACUGGGUAUAACUAUGGGAACUAUGGAUAUGGACAGGGAUAUACAGACUACAGUGGCCAACAGAGCACUUAUGGCAAGGCGUCUCGAGGGGGUGGCAAUCAUCAAAACAAUUAUCAACCAUACUAAAGGAGGACAUGGGGGAGAAAACAGCGGGAACUUCAUUGCAGGCCGUGUGUCACCCUGACCACGUCUAUCUCUGGGGGUCGCACGUUGCGGGCAGAGCGCAAGGCAUACACCAGAAAACGCUGUCCUGUGGAGGAAAUUGCUAAAGUAACCCAUCUUGCAGGACAACGUUGAAGAUUGAUCUUCUGUUGAUCUAAGAUGAUAAUUUUGUAAAAGACUUUCUAGUGUACAAGACACAACUGUGUCCAACUGUAUAUAGCCGCCAAUUAGUUUUCUUUGUUUUUACUUUGUCUUUUGCUAUCUGUGUUAUGACUCAAUGUGGAUUUGUGUUUAUACAAAUUUUAUUUGUAUGAUUUCAUGUUAAACCUCAAAUAAAUGCUUCCUUAUGUAAUUGUU